AGUUCUUUGAGGCCUUAACUAAGCUGCAGGCACCGGAGCGACUCUACCUCCCACCCGUUGGAUAAACUGAACAAAGGAUACCUCACCUGGAUAAUCUGGUGACUACCUUUGGUGCUGGGGCGGGUGAUCGUGAUGGUGUCUUCCACAUUGCCCUAGGAAGUGGAGUUCUCUUAGGCUGUGUUGUAAGUGGACUGACUUCCUUAGUCAGCCUGGAGGCCGCCCCAGGGAGCCGCGCCCACGCUCAGGCCCGUUGAAGCUGAUGGAGACUUGGCAUCCUGAAAUUUCGUCUGCAACUGUUCGGAAGUCCUACAGGAUCUCCCAGUAGCAUCAAUCAAGGCAGUCUCUCCACACUCCUGACCUCGUCGCUUGUAUUUGGGACCGUCCACGGAGCUGGAAAAAGAUAUGCUCACAUUCUAACAACACUUGCUACCUUUGGGUUACUGAGGCAUGACGAAGGACUGAGAAGAAAAGGCACUCUGGGUUGUCUAUCUCUCCCCCUCCCUUCGUGGCAUAAUUUUCAGUGUAUGUGGUCAGUGAACGGAGAGAAGGAAGAUGAUGCUUGGUCGUUAGCCUUUCCUAGCACAGACACACUGCCUUCUGUGUGCAGUCAAAACAAGUUCAGGGUCAAACACAGCGGUCUUCUGGGGCUCUCUUCUCACCUACCUGAUUGCGGGCAUUACACACUUUCUUUGCACUCGCUUUGAGCCUCCCUGAGUUCCCAUGCGUGAUGGCAUUGGUUCGAAGACGAAAUUGUGAAGAAUUUCAGGAGAGUGACAACAGAGCUUUAAACCAAGUGCAGUGUCCUGAGCACAGAGCUCAGUGUGACGGCAACACGUACAGGACUUCUUUUUCAAGAAUUUCCUAAGACUCCUCUCCCCACUCUUUACUCCCAAGGUCUUGAACCCCCGCAAAGCUCCCAAGACAGCUUUGUUGUGCUUAAGUGCACAUUUCUCUGCAUAACUUGAAGUUCUUUCUGAUUCUGGUAAUGCCGAAGGCGUGUGUGGUUUAUUUUCACUCCUUGGUGAUCUUGGGCCGUCUGGGGGAGGUGGUGUGGAGAGUUUUAAACUCAAGUGGCUGCUGUUAUCCUACAGAUUAGGGUGUGUGUAUGUGUGUGUGUUUGAUGCUAUUGUUAGAAAUUUUCUUUUUCCACAACUAAAGACUGUUUAAUCUUUUUUUGGACUGGGUAACACAUUCACAAAGAUCAAACAUAAAGAGAUUAAAGGUAUAUUAAAGAUUUCAUUUUCUAAUUAUGUAUGAUUCUAAUUAUGUAUGUAAUGUAGAAAUAAUUGCUUUUUAAGAAAUUAUCCUUGUUAAAUUCACAUACUGGCUCUUAA